AACGAACGCUGNGCGGCUGCCUAACACAUGCAAGUCGAACGAGACCUUCGGGUCUAGUGGCGCACGGGUGCGUAACGCGUGGGAAUCUGCCCUUCGGUUGGGAAUAACACAGAGAAAUUUGUGCUAAUACCUUAUAAUGUCUUCGGACCAAAGAUUUAUCGCCGAGGGAUGAGCCCGCGUAGGAUUAGGUAGUUGGUGGGGUAAUGGCCUACCAAGCCGACGAUCCUUAGCUGGUCUGAGAGGAUGAUCAGCCACACUGGGACUGAGACACGGCCCAGACUCCUACGGGAGGCAGCAGUGGGGAAUAUUGGACAAUGGGCGAAAGCCUGAUCCAGCAAUGCCGCGUGAGUGAUGAAGGCCUUAGGGUUGUAAAGCUCUUUUACCAGGGAUGAUAAUGACAGUACCUGGAGAAUAAGCUCCGGCUAACUCCGUGCCAGCAGCCGCGGUAAUACGGAGGGAGCUAGCGUUGUUCGGAAUUACUGGGCGUAAAGCGCGCGUAGGCGGUUACUCAAGUCAGAGGUGAAAGCCCGGGGCUCAACCCCGGAACUGCCUUUGAAACUAGGUAACUAGAAUCUUGGAGAGGUCAGUGGAAUUCCGAGUGUAGAGGUGAAAUUCGUAGAUAUUCGGAAGAACACCAGUGGCGAAGGCGACCGACUGGACAAGUAUUGACGCUGAGGUGCGAAAGCGUGGGGAGCAAACAGG
rnacentral:rRNA from 1 species